rnacentral:rRNA from 1 species
GGCUCAGGAUGAACGCUAGCGGCAGGCUUAACACAUGCAAGUCGAGGGGUAACAGGUCACUUCGGUGAUGCUGACGACCGGCGCACGGGUGAGUAACGCGUAUGGAACCUACCUGAAACAGGGGGAUAGCUUCCGGAAACGGGGAUUAAUACCCCAUACGAUUCAUUUGUGGCCUCACAAAUGGAUAAAAGCUACGGCGGUUUCAGAUGGUCAUGCGUACCAUUAGUUAGUUGGUGAGGUAAAGGCUCACCAAGGCGAUGAUGGUUAGGGGUCCUGAGAGGGUAGUCCCCCACACUGGUACUGAGACACGGACCAGACUCCUACGGGAGGCAGCAGUGAGGAAUAUUGGUCAAUGGGCGCUAGCCUGAACCAGCCAUGCCGCGUGCAGGAAGACGGCCCUACGGGUUGUAAACUGCUUUUCUGCAGGAAGAAUAUAUAGUCUUAGGGCUAUAUUGACGGUACUGCAGGAAUAAGCAUCGGCUAACUCCGUGCCAGCAGCCGCGGUAAUACGGAGGAUGCAAGCGUUAUCCGGAUUCAUUGGGUUUAAAGGGUGCGCAGGCUGUAAAGCAAGUCAGUGGUGAAAGCCCUGGGCUUAACUCAGGGAUUGCCAUUGAAACUGUUUUACUAGAGUGUAGUAGAGGACGGCGGAAUGAGUUGUGUAGCGGUGAAAUGCAUAGAUAUAACUCAGAACACCUAUUGCGUAGGCAGCUGUCUAUACUACAACUGACGCUGAGGCACGAAAGCGUGGGGAGCGAACAGGAUUAGAUACCCUGGUAGUCCACGCUGUAAACGAUGAUCACUCGUUGUUGGCUACUUAGUAGUCAGUGACCAAGGGAAACCGAUAAGUGAUCCACCUGGGGAGUACGU